rnacentral:lncRNA from 1 species
UGUAACCUAUAUUCUCCAACCUUCCUCGAUACCCUAGAGGUCGACUCUUGCCACAAGGAAUGUCAUCGCCUUUCGGCUGUUCUACGAUAUUCCUUGGAGGAUGGAACCUUUCUGUUGACCUAACUUUCCAGUGAGCGGACCUACUCGAAGGAAGGAAAAAGAAGGGGGUUGGGGGUGCUUCUAUAUAAUCUCUAAUCCGAGUCUUAC